CCUACGGGUGGCAGCAGUCGAGAAUCAUUCACAAUGGGGGAAACCCUGAUGGUGCGACGCCGCGUGGGGGAAUGAAGGUCUUCGGAUUGUAAACCCCUGUCAUGUGGGAGCAAAUUAAAAAGAUAGUACCACAAGAGGAAGAGACGGCUAACUCUGUGCCAGCAGCCGCGGGAAUACAGAGGUCUCAAGCGUUGUUCGGAAUCACUGGGCGUAAAGCGUGCGUAGGCUGUUUCGUAAGUCGUGUGUGAAAGGCGCGGGCUCAACCCGCGGACGGCACAUGAGACUGCGAGACUAGAGUAAUGGAGGGGGAAGCGGAAUUCUCGGUGUAGCAGUGAAAUGCGUAGAUAUUGAGAGGAACACGAGUGGCGAAGGCGGGUUCCUGGACAUUAACUGACGCUGAGGCACGAAGGCCAGGGGAGCGAAAGGGAUUAGAUACCCCUGUAGUC
rnacentral:rRNA from 1 species